rnacentral:rRNA from 10 species
GCUUACGGCCAUACCACCUUAGGCACGCCCGAUCUCGUCUGAUCUCGGAAGCUAAGCAGGGUCUGGCCUGGUUAGUACUUGGAUGGGUGACCUCCUGGGAAUACCAGGUGCUGUAAGCA